rnacentral:lncRNA from 1 species
GGUGGGCAACGACUGUCAUGAUUCUUAGUUGGCAUAAGAAGCACCAGAUCACUGUGGCUAGCACCAUUCCCUAGGCAGGUAGUGUUCAUAUGUAUAAGAAAGCUAGUUAAGUGUGUGUCUGCCAAGUGAGUCAGCUUGCAACAUUCCUCUAUGGUUUCUCUUUAAGUCCUUGCUUGAGACACCUGAUUUCAUCACUCCUUCAAUGAUAAACCAUAACCCGUUAGCUGAAAGAAACUUUUAUCUUCUAAAUUGCUUUUAGUCAGAGUUGUUUUCAUUUGCUUCUUUGUUUUGUCGUUCUUUUUCAUCCCAGAAAAAUAGGAAUAAAACUAGAAUACGUAUGUAGCAGUUCACUGAAUUUGGGGUAUUCUUAAAAAGUACAAAAGGUAACUUGAUGUAAUGAUCAAAUGCCAACUUCUUAAUUAGUGACUUCCUUUGCUAUAACAGAAUCAAUGAAGGAUGAACGAUAUCCUCAUGUGUAGUAGAAAUUACUAUUUCUGAAAUAUAUCUUCACUGACAUGAGGUUUCCUUAUUUCCCCCCCAAAGGUGUUUUUCAUAUAUUCAGUGAAAACAAGAUUCACCUUUCAAAGAUAUGUCCAUUGCCUAACCCUCUCCAGUGAGGCCAGCUUUUCUGUUUUUUACCACCUCUCAAUAGUCCAAUUAAAAACCUAUCAGUGGAUAAAUCCUUUGACUAGAUUGGAGUCCUUGGGAUCCAAUAAUUUUGCAAACUCCUCACCUUUGAACAAUACAUGUGGAAUGUUGCAUCUCAUAUAUCGAAUCCAUGUUAGGAUUACAAUUAUGUAAAUUAUAUACAUGAAAAUGUAGGGAUAAUGAUGAGAAGAUAUAGAAAGAUUGUAGACAUUCUCAUUUUUAGCUGGAGAGUGCAGAGUCAUGAAACAUAGUAGCAUUUGGUGUCAGCUGUAGGAGCAGGGCUCUAGGUACAGAGAUGGCUGUAUUUCUAUCUGUACUGUGUUUCUCUAGGAAGAUGCAGCAACUCCAGUGAGAUGCUGACAUCUGUUAGGUUUGAUGACAACUUCGUUGUCUGUUGUCAGUUAUAGUUUUAUCUGCAAUUUUCCACAUGUUUGUCAUGUUUUAUAUUUUAGACGAUUAGUCUUGGAAGUUGUAAAGAUAACCACUAAGUAGAAUUAAAAAUAUAUUACAUGCCAUUCUAUCACUUAAAAUGAGAACAAGGGGAUACCUAAAAUGUAUGAAAGAAAACUUUACAAAUUACAGAAAAAAAUAUGAGAAUGAACUAGAACAAAUAAGACUUUAAUACAAGAUAACAAAACUACAAUCUUUGCUCUAUCUUGAACAUAUCUUUAGUGAGUUCGACCUCUGAAUCAGUCAGCACUAAUUACGAAUUCCUUAUUAAUGUGUGCCUGAGAUGAUGCUGUAUGCUGUCUUUCAUGCUUUCAAUGUUUUAAGGCCCUUAGUUUUCAUGUCAGUUCAGAACGAAGUCAUAUUAUUAUCUGGGAUUUUUUUUCCACUGACUGAAUGAACAAAAUAAUUAAGAGGUAAAAAUGUGUUUUUAAAAGAUGAAGUGUUCUAGUAGACAGUCACUUCUUUUGUCUG